rnacentral:tRNA from 2 species
GAGACCUUAAGUUAUUUAGACUGAUGGCCUUCAAAGCCGGGAGAGUAGCGUUAAGAGGUUGCAGGUUUCG